rnacentral:rRNA from 1 species
UACGAAGGGGGCUAGCGUUGCUCGGAAUUACUGGGCGUAAAGCGCACGUAGGCGGCUUUCUAAGUCGGAGGUGAAAUCCUGGAGCUCAACUCCAGAACUGCCUUCGAUACUGGAGAGCUUGAGUCCGGGAGAGGUGAGUGGAACUGCGAGUGUAGAGGUGAAAUUCGUAGAUAUUCGCAAGAACACCAGUGGCGAAGGCGGCUCACUGGCCCGGUACUGACGCUGAGGUGCGAAAGCGUGGGGAGCAAACAGGGAUUAAGAAA